rnacentral:rRNA from 1 species
CCUACGGGGGGCAGCAGCUAGGAAUUUUCCGCAAUGGGCGAAAGCCUGACGGAGCGACGCCGCGUGAGGGAAGAAGGUCCUACGGGAUUGUAAACCUCUUUUCUGCAGGAGGAGCAAGGACUGUACUGCAGGAAUAAGUCCCGGCAAACUACGUGCCAGCAGCCGCGGUAAUACGUAGGGGGCUAGCGUUGUUCGGAAUCACUGGGUCUAAAGGGUGCGUAGGCGGGCUAUCAAGCAAGGGGUGAAAGUCCAUGGCUUAACCAUGGGAUUGCCUUUUGGACUGAUAGUCUGGAGGGCAGGAGGGGAGAGCAGAAUCCCCGGUGUAGGGGUGAAAUCUAUAGAUAUCGGGAAGAAUACCGGUCGCGAAGGCGGCUCUCGGGUCUGCAACUGACGCUGAGGCACGAAAGCGUGGGGAGCGAACGGGAUUAGAUCCCCUUGUAGU